AUGAACCAUUAUCAUUGAAUGAUAUUGACAAACAUUAAAAAUCCACCAGGAGACAAAAUAUUAGCGCAACACACUCGGAAACCAUGACCACCUAUGGAGUUAUAAUAACAUGUAGCUUCUAGUUCUAGAUGCUAACGUUACCGGGUAACGUUAUCUAAAUGUCUGUCUGAUACUACAACCAGAGCCCGUCUUCUCUGCUACAACCAAAAACACCCAGUAACGUUAAGUUACAUGGCUAUAAUAUGAAGCUACCCUGAAUUAAUUAAUAAGAUGUUGUUUGCCAUUAUUAUUACCGUACGUGUGGCUUGUGAAGAGACUAAUUACUUCAACUGUGUUGGCUAAUAUUAGCUGACAAACGUUAGCUGCAACCAUAGUCUAGGCUACAAUCACCACGAAGCAUAUUUAAUUAGCAUUGAUGCUAGCUAUAUGGUCUGCUAAUAUUAACCAGCUUGGUAUGCUCAUUUUAGUUAGUUGUAAAAGUUCGUUUUGUUUCUGUCAGCAGUUCAUACCCAGUGAACAAAGAACUGUGUUUUUAUCUGUCUUUGUGUAUAUUUAACAUGAACAGUAAUUGUAAGUUAAUGUUAGCUAACGUUAGUUAGCAUGAAUGACACAAUUGUUAACCUGUUUGAGGCUGAAUGAAAUUGGCAGGCAGAAUAUCCAUUCAUAUCAUGAAGGGUAGCUUCUACAUCUCUGGGUGGACUUUUAAAAUCCGUCUGGAUAAAACAUUUUUAAAAAAGUUAAAGAUACAUACCUUACGAAAUCGCCUGAUUUCCAUUGCAUGCUGACAACUGGUGGACUGGACGGUUGGAAGAAUAACAAUGUUUUUUCAAAUUCUCAAAUAACUAUGCAGCUGUGUUAAAGUCACCCAGGUGCUGGGUAGUGUACUCCACGUCAGGUGGGAGAGAGGAGGGGCGCUGUCCUAAUCAAUCAACCCAACAUUUCUUCUGUUCACUUGCAGGUUUCAGAGAAGGCUGGUAGAGCUCUCUAUGAGUGUGAGCUGUGGAAGAUAACCAAGAACUGACAACCACCUAAAGAAGAGGUGGCGAUAAAGGCUCUCCAAGAGGAGGUUGUGAGUCUGAAGGCUUUUAUUCAACAAGGAGGCACUUAGAGGGAAUGCCUGGACCCUGAGAGGACUAAGACGAUAAUUGAGGCCACCCUGAAGCAGUUCCCAGGCAAGACACUCACUCCAGAUUGCUGGGCCAGGCAAUAAAUGCCAAAGUGACAGAACUGAGGUUCCAUAACAAAAACAAAGAUUUUCAAUAAAAUAGAAUAAAAGAUAACAGAAGUGUUGUGUGUUUCUUCCUCUUUAUACUGAUACUAUGGUUGAUUUUAAGUAAACACAAUA